rnacentral:rRNA from 1 species
UACGUAGGGGGGCGAGCGUUUGUCCGGAUUUAUUUGGGCGUAAAGAGCGUGUAGGCGGCCAGGUAGGUCUGCUGUGAAAACUCGAGGCUCAACCUCGAGACGUCGGCGGAAACCAUCUGGCUAGAGUCCGGAAGAGGAGAGUGGAAUUCCUGGUGUAGCGGUGAAAUGCGCAGAUAUCAGGAAGAACACCUAUGGCGAAGGCAGCUCUCUGGGACGGUACUGACGCUGAGACGCGAAAGCGUGGGAGCGAACAGG